rnacentral:rRNA from 1 species
GGUCAAGUGACUAAGAGCAUGUGGUGGAUGCCUUGGCGAUGAUAGGCGACGAAGGACGUGAUAGCCUGCGAUAAGCUUCGGGGAGCUGGCAAAUGAGCUUUGAUCCGGAGAUUUCCGAAUGGGGAAACCCACCGUAAGGUAUCUGCAGCUGAAUUCAUAGGCUGCAGAGGCGAACCGAGUGAACUGAAACAUCUAAGUACCCGUAGGAAAGGACAUCAACCGAGACUCCGCUAGUAGUGGCGAGCGAAAUCGGAGUAGCCUUCUAGUGAUAGCACGACUGUUAGCAAAACGGGUUGGAAAACUCGGCCAUAGCAGGUGAUAGCCCUGUAUGCGAAAACCGACGUGUGGUACUAGGCUAGAGAAAAGUAGGGCGGGACACGUGAAAUCCUGUCUGAACGUGGGGGGACCACCCUCCAAGCCUAAGUACUCGUCAUGACCGAUAGCGAACUAGUACCGUGAGGGAAAG